rnacentral:rRNA from 1 species
AGCCAGACUCCUACGGGAGGCAGCAGUGAGUCCUCUUGGUCAAUGUCCGCCAGGCUGACCACGCCAAGUCGCCCCCUGGAAGACGGCACCCCGGGUUGUAACACCCUUUUGUCGGGCCGACAAGCGAGUCCAGUGUGACUCAUCGAGAGUACCCGAAGAAAAAGCAUCGGCUAACUCCGUGCCAGCAGCCGCGGUAAUAACGAGGAUGCGAGCGUUAUCCGGAUUUAUUGGGUUUAAAGGGUGCGCAGGCGGAGGUGCAAGUCAGCGGUCAAAUUGCGGGGCUCAACCCCGUACUGCCGUUGAAACUGCAUCCCUUGAGUGCGCGAGAAGUAUGCGGAAUGCGUGGUGUAGCGGUGAAAUGCAUAGAUAUCACGCAGAACUCCGAUUGCGAAGGCAGCAUACCGGCGCGCAACUGACGCUCAUGCACGAAAGCGUGGGUAUCGAACAGGAUUAGAUACCCGAGUA